rnacentral:piRNA from 1 species
UGAAAUAGCCAUGCUCCUGUCAGUUA